AGUGAACGCUGGCGGUAGGCCUAACACAUGCAAGUCGAACGGCAGCACAGUAAGAGCUUGCUCUUACGGGUGGCGAGUGGCGGACGGGUGAGGAAUACAUCGGAAUCUACUUUUUCGUGGGGGAUAACGUAGGGAAACUUACGCUAAUACCGCAUACGACCUACGGGUGAAAGCAGGGGAUCUUCGGACCUUGCGCGAUUGAAUGAGCCGAUGUCGGAUUAGCUAGUUGGCGGGGUAAAGGCCCACCAAGGCGACGAUCCGUAGCUGGUCUGAGAGGAUGAUCGGCCACACUGGAACUGAGACACGGUCCAGACUCCUACGGGAGGCAGCAGUAGGGAAUAUUGGACAAUGGGCGAAAGCCUGAUCGAGCCAUACCGCGUGAGUGAAGAAGGUCUUCGGGUAGUAAAACUCUUUUGUUGGGGAAGAAAAGAUGUAGAAGAAAACCCGGAUGUUUUGACGGUACCUAAAGAAAAAGCAACGGCUAACUUCGUG
rnacentral:rRNA from 1 species